rnacentral:lncRNA from 1 species
CCCCUAUGUUCUAUUUUUAGCCAUGGCGGCCAUCUUGUUUGAUUGGCUGGGUCACCGGACACAUUUUUUAAACUAGAUACCCCAAAGAUGAUCGUGGCCAAGUUUGGUUAAAUUUGGCCCAGUAGUUUCAGAGGAGAAGAUUUUUGUAAAAGUUAACGCAGGACGACGACGGACGACGACGACGGAUGCCGGACGCCAAGUGAUGAGAAAAGCUCAC